rnacentral:rRNA from 1 species
AGAGUUUGAUCCUGGCUCAGGACGAACGCUGGCGGCGUGCUUAACACAUGCAAGUCAAGGGGGCCCAGCAAUGGGCAACCGGCGAACGGGUGCGUAACACGUGAGCAACCUACCGAACUGUGGGGGAUAGCCGGCCUAACGGCCGAGUAAUACCGCAUACGCUUUCAGUGAGGCAUUUCAUUGAAAGGAAACCUACGGGACAGAUCGAGGGGCUCGCGGCCUAUCAGCUAGUUGACGAGGUAAUGGCUCACCAAGGCUACGACGGGUAGCUGGUCUGAGAGGAUGGCCAGCCACAUUGGGACUGAGAUACGGCCCAGACUCCUACGGGAGGCAGCAGUGGGGAAUCUUGCGCAAUGGCCUAACGGCUGACGCAGCGACGCCGCGUGUGGGAUGAAGCUCCUCGGAGUGUAAACCACUGUUGCCCGGGACGAAUAGCUCGAUUAAUCGAGCCUGACGGUACCGGGUGAGGAAGCACCGGCUAACUCCGUGCCAGCAGCCGCGGUAAUACGGGGGGUGCGAGCGUUGUCCGGAAUCACUGGGCGUAAAGGGCGCGUAGGUGGUUUGAUAAGGGUGUGGUGAAAGCCCGGGGCUCAACCCCGGGUCUGCCGUGCCGACUGUUGAACUGGAGGGCUGUAGAGGCAGACGGAAUUCCGGGUGUAGCGGUGGAAUGCGUAGAGAUCCGGAGAGACCGGUGGCGAAGCGGUCUGCUGGGCAGUUCUGACACUGAUGCGCGACAGCGUGGGGAGCAAACAGGAUUAGAUAC